rnacentral:rRNA from 1 species
GACGAACGCUGGCGGCGUGCCUAAUACAUGCAAGUCGAGCGAUAAAGUCUGGUGCUUGCACCAAUUUGUAGAGCAGCGGACGGGAGAGUAACGUGUGGGGAAUCUGCCUUUGAGCGGGGGACAAUAUUUGGUAAUGAAUGCUAAUACCGCAUAACAACUUUCAACAUAAUUUUUCCGCUUGAAAGAUGCUAUUGCAUCACUCAAAGAUGAUCCAGCGUUGUAUUAGCUAGUUGGUGAGGUAAAGGCUCACCCAGGCCAGGAUACAUAGCCGACCAGAGAGGGGGAUCGGCCAAGUUGGGACUGAGGCAGGGCCCGAAAUCCUACGGGAGGCAGCAGUAGGGAAUCCUCAGGGAUGGACGAAAGUCGGGACGAGCAACGACGGGUGAGUGAAGGAGGUUUUCGGGUCGUGAAACUCUGGUGGGAGUGAGGGACGUAGGGGAGAGUGGAAAGCGCAGCAAGUGACGGUAACGACAGAGAAAGGGACGGCUAACUACGUG